GAGAAAGGACUAGUUUUCAAACAAUUGACAGCUUUGGGAGACGUAAAGCACAUUCAUUGAGUGAACUUGUUAAUGAUAACUUUUCCACCUUGUACAUGUCAGCAUAAGCGUGUGGGCUGGAGGAGACAGAAGCAGAGGUUAACUUGAAGUUGGGUGAAAGCAGAAUUAGGGUUGUCCAAGUCUGCACUGUAACUCUCUGGGGAAUAUGAUGACUUACUAAGAGCAGUGCAGUCGGGAGGAAGUGCAUAGUCAAAUUUUCCCUCAUACUUAAACACUCAAAUGUGGAUAGUAAAUAAAGAACAUAAUGCUUUUUUUUUUUUUUAGGUGACCUUUCUUUAGUAGUACUCGUCUGGUUGCUCCCUAUCUUUGCUCUUUUCAAAGAGGAAUUCACAGGGAAAUAAAUAAGGUAUCCCUGUGCCAGAGUGAAUUUGCUUAUGUACAUGUGACUCAAAGCAGGAGCCAGCAGAUGGUCGCGUCGUUAGCCGGUGGCCACAGCCUCGCCAGAGGAGUUUUGGAAUUCCCAUCAAAGUCGGGAUUAAGCUCAGGAUAUGCCAGUGGCACAGAGGGAGCCCUGGGGGAGCGUGGAAGAAGAGGAAAUCAUUCCCUGCGACUCAUCUUGCGGUUGGGUGCUGAUCUCCUGAGAGCGCCGCGCGUGUGCCAAAGGAAGAACACGUUGUUUGAGGGAAAACCUAUUUAUAAACACGUGCAAACUGAAAGGUAAAUCAUUUCUGUAAAUUGAUUGAUGAAAUAUGCUCUCUGCAUUGGUUAUGUGUCCCGAUGUAGUGUAAAUACACCUGACAUCUAUUACGUUUGUCGCUGUGCAGCACCACUAGGUAGGCAGUGGGUAUCUUUUAAAAAUUCCAUUUCUAAUUCUCUGCUUCUUCACCAUAACAAAGAAAGGUUCAAAGGUGGCGUGUUUUUCUCUGAAAAUAUUUUUGGCUUGGGUUUGGAGGUUUUUUUGCAGCGAUAUACGUGAUGGGGAGGAGUAAAGAAUAUUUGCCUUCAGCUAAAAGAGCCUCUGCAGUCUGUUUGUCAGGCGUGGGAAUUCAGUGGGGAUUAAAAACAAUCACACGUGGAGCUGAUUGAAUUUCCUAUCCCUCUUAAUUGCUACCUUUUUUUUUUUUUUUCCUAUGUGAUGAUUUUAAUUUCACUUCCUCCG
rnacentral:lncRNA from 1 species